GAUUUCUGGUUUAAUGCACCUGGCCCGCGGCCACUAGGCUUGUGAGUGCCGGCGCGCGUUUACCAUCCUUCUAGAAAACGUUUCUGCCAUUAACUUGGUUGGGCAUGCGAGCUAGAUCUUUUACUUUGAAAAAAUUAGAGUGUUUAAAGCAGGCUUUUGCUAUGAAUACAUUAGCAUGGACUAAUAAUCUAGGCCUUCGGUUCUAUUUUGUUGGUUUCUAUAACUGAAGUAAUGAUUGAUAAGGAUAGUUGCUGGUUGGAGGUGAAAUUCUUGGAUUAUGCGAAAGCAUU
rnacentral:rRNA from 1 species